rnacentral:rRNA from 1 species
CCUACGGGAGGCAGCAGUGGGGAAUAUUGCACAAUGGGGGAAACCCUGAUGCAGCGACGCCGCGUGCGUGAAGAAGUAUCUCGGUACGUAAAGCUCUAUCAGCAGGGAAGAAAAUGACGGUACCUGACUCAGAAGCCCCGGCGAACUACGUGCCAGCAGCCGCGGUAAUACGGAGGGGGCCAGCGUUAUCCGGAUUUACUGGGUGUAAAGGGAGCGUAGACGGCAGAACAAGUCUGGAGUGAAAUCCCGGGGCUUAACCCCGGAACUGCUUUGGAAACUGUGCGGCUGGAGUGCAGGAGGGGUAAGCGGAAGGCCUAGUGUAGCGGUGAAAUGCGUAGAUAUUAGGAGGAACACCGGUGGCGAAGGCGGCUUACUGGACUGUAACUGACGUUGAGGCUCGAAAGCGUGGGGAGCAAACAGGAUUAGAUACCCGUGUAGUC